UGCAGUCGAACGGUGAACACGGAGCUUGCUCUGUGGGAUCAGUGGCGAACGGGUGAGUAACACGUGAGCAACCUGCCCCUGACUCUGGGAUAAGCGCUGGAAACGGCGUCUAAUACUGGAUAUGUGACGUGACCACAUGGUCUGCGUUUGGAAAGAUUUUUCGGUUGGGGAUGGGCUCGCGGCCUAUCAGCUUGUUGGUGAGGUAAUGGCUCACCAAGGCGUCGACGGGUAGCCGGCCUGAGAGGGUGACCGGCCACACUGGGACUGAGACACGGCCCAGACUCCUACGGGAGGCAGCAGUGGGGAAUAUUGCACAAUGGGCGAAAGCCUGAUGCAGCAACGCCGCGUGAGGGAUGACGGCCUUCGGGUUGUAAACCUCUUUUAGCAGGGAAGAAGCGAAAGUGACGGUACCUGCAGAAAAAGCGCCGGCUAACUACGUGCCAGCAGCCGCGGUAAUACGUAGGGCGCAAGCGUUAUCCGGAAUUAUUGGGCGUAAAGAGCUCGUAGGCGGUUUGUCGCGUCUGCUGUGAAAUCCCGAGGCUCAACCUCGGGCCUGCAGUGGGUACGGGCAGACUAGAGUGCGGUAGGGGAGAUUGGAAUUCCUGGUGUAGCGGUGGAAUGCGCAGAUAUCAGGAGGAACACCGAUGGCGAAGGCAGAUCUCUGGGCCGUAACUGACGCUGAGGAGCGAAAGGGUGGGGAGCAAACAGGCUUAGAUACCCUGGUAGUCCAC
rnacentral:rRNA from 1 species